rnacentral:rRNA from 1 species
UAGUGGCGAACGGGUGAGUAACACGUGGGCAAUCUGCCCUGCACUCUGGGACAAGCCCUGGAAACGGGGUCUAAUACCGGAUACGACUACUGGGGGCAUCYCYKSKGGUGGAAAGCUCCGGCGGUGCAGGAUGAGCCCGCGGCCUAUCAGCUUGUUGGUGGGGUGAUGGCCUACCAAGGCGACGACGGGUAGCCGGCCUGAGAGGGCGACCGGCCACACUGGGACUGAGACACGGCCCAGACUCCUACGGGAGGCAGCAGUGGGGAAUAUUGCACAAUGGGCGAAAGCCUGAUGCAGCGACGCCGCGUGAGGGAUGACGGCCUUCGGGUUGUAAACCUCUUUCAGCAGGGAAGAAGCGCAAGUGACGGUACCUGCAGAAGAAGCGCCGGCUAACUACGUGCCAGCAGCCGCGGUAAUACGUAGGGCGCAAGCGUUGUCCGGAAUUAUUGGGCGUAAAGAGCUCGUAGGCGGCUUGUCGCGUCGGAUGUGAAAGCCCGGGGCUUAACCCCGGGUCUGCAUUCGAUACGGGCAGGCUAGAGUUCGGUAGGGGAGAUCGGAAUUCCU